UACAGAGGUCUCAAGCGUUGUUCGGAUUCAUUGGGCGUAAAGGGUGCGUAGGUGGCGCCGUAAGUCAGGUGUGAAAUUUCGGAGCUUAACUCCGAAACUGCAUUUGAUACUGCGGUGCUUGAGGACUGGAGAGGAGACUGGAAUUCACGGUGUAGCAGUGAAAUGCGUAGAUAUCGUGAGGAAGACCAGUGGCGAAGGCGGGUCUCUGGGCCGUAACUGACGCUGAGGAGCGAAAGCGUGGGGAGCGAACAGG
rnacentral:rRNA from 1 species